UGGGGAAUAUUGCACAACGGGCGCAAGCCUGAUGCAGCCAUGCCGCGUGUGUGAAGAAGGCCUUCGGGUUGUAAAGCACUUUCAGCGGGGAGGAAGGCGUUAAGGUUAAUAACCUUGGCGAUUUACGUUACCCGCAGAAGAAGCACCGGCUAACUCCGUGCCAGCAGCCGCGGUAAUACGGAGGGUGCAAGCGUUAAUCGGAAUUACUGGGCGUAAAGCGCACGCAGGCGGUCUGUCAAGUCGGAUGUGAAAUCCCCGGGCUCAACCUGGGAACUGCAUUCGAAACUGGCAGGCUAGAGUCUUGUAGAGGGGGGUAGAAUUCCAGGUGUAGCGGUGAAAUGCGUAGAGAUCUGGAGGAAUACCGGUGGCGAAGGCGGCCCCCUGGACAAAGACUGACGCUCAGGUGCGAAAGCGUGGGGAGCAAACAGG
rnacentral:rRNA from 1 species